rnacentral:lncRNA from 1 species
ACUUAGUCACCUAAAAGUGACUCAUCAACACCAAAAAAACACCUAAAAGGGACCAUCAACACACAGAAAAGUAAUGGCUACAACCAGUGGAAGCCUCUUGAAAUCCAGUAGUAUAAAAGUGGCUUGCCAGUCACGGUGGCUCACACCUGUAAUCCCAGCAUUCUGGGAGGCCAAGGCGGGUGGAUCACGAGGUCAGGAGUUCAAGACCAGCCUGGCCAAGGUGUUGAACCCUCGUCUCUACUAAAAACACAAAAAUUAGCCAGGCACGGUGGCGGGCGCCUAUAAUCCCAGCUACUUGGAAGACUGAGGCAGGAGAACCACUUGAACCCAGGUAGUGGAGGUUGCAGUGAGUAUACCACUGCACUCUAGCCUGGGUGACAGAGCAAGACUCUGUCUCAAUAACUAAAAAUAAAAAAAAAAAUCAGUGGUUUACAUUAUACGAUCCAAGAGCGAUUAAAUCACAUAUACUUCAGAAAUGAUUUUUUAAAAGUUUUAAACAGAAAUAGAGCACCUGAGAAUUAUUCUUUACAGUUAUAUAAUUAAAAAACCACCUCAACUUACCUUCCAGAGAGGGCCCUCAUAUCGUUUCAAUGCUUUGUAGAUGACCUGUCAAAAACAUGUUUUCAUGAAAAAUGCAUCUACAUAUUUCAAACAUUCAAAAAUUUUUUUCUAAAAAUUAUUAGAUAAAUUUAAUUCAUUACUCUGUACCUUAUUACCAACAAGAAUGUGUUUCAUUUCAGCACCCUGGGCAAGGUCAAGAGGUUUCUGAUCUGUGCAAAAUACAAAGAAAAAAAGCCAUCAACAGCUUAAAUGUACUAUGACAAUCAAUGCUGUAACUGCAGCAUCUAAUAGUCCUUCAUUUUUCUAUUGCCUAUAUCUUUUUCUUUCCCCAGAAAAUUACCUACCAGAGAGAGGUUGCCAUCUCAAUUAUUUAUGGCCUCCCUUUUGGUCGCUAACUAUUAAGCCAGCAAAUCAGAUUAACUUCACAACAAAUUAUCAUGAACUCAUAAAUUUGUGGCUUAAACAAUACAAAUUUAUUAUCUUACAGUUUCAGAGAUCAGAAGUCUGAAAUCAAUUUCACUGGGCUGAAAUCAACAUGUGGACAGAGCUGCAUUCCUUCUGGAGGCUCUAAGGGAGACAUUUCCUUGCCUUUUCCACUUCUAGCGGCCAACUACCUGACUUGACAUGGGGUCUCUUCCUCCAUCUCCAAAGCACAUCAUUCCAACCUCUGCUUCCAGCAUUCUGUUCUCUCUCUCUCUAUAGCCCUCCCUCCUAUCAGGAGCCUUGUAACUACAUAGAUCUACCUGGAUAAUUCAGGAUUUCCCCUCAUCUCAAGAUACCUAACUAAUCACAAAUUUGGGGUCCACUCUUUAGCCGACCACAGCCACGCUUCAGCCGUCUCGCUGCAUAAUGGGUAGCAGAGAUGGCUCACAAGCUGAGGGUGUGAUGGUCCACAAUUUAGGACAAAAGAAAAAGGUGACAAUGGAGAAUAAAGCCGGCAAGCUAUCAAUGUUAAUUUUUCCAACCUUACACAUGCACAUUCCAUGUUUUGCCCAACAACAACAAAAAUGGAGUUUGUCUUAUCAAAGUUAUUUAUAGAGUUCUGAAGUGAGCAGGACAUUAAAUGAAGGACAAAAGGUAAAAAAACAAACAAACAAAAACCCACAAAUAAAUCAAACCAUCUCCUAGCCUCAAAUAGCUUAUUAUUAGAGAAAUGAAAGCUACCUAUGAAAAUUAGAACAGUCCUUUCAAAACAACAUAUCAAUGAGAACUCUGGAACUGUUUAUGCAGGAAGGUGAUAUAUUCUAUCAGAUAACCUUUUAGGCCAGGCGCAGUGGCUCACAACUAUAAUCCCAGUACUCUGGGAGGCUAAGGCGGAAGGAUGGCUUGAGGCCAGAAGCUUAAGACUCGCCGGGGUAAUACAGUGAGACCUUAUCUCUACAAAAAAAAAAAAAAAAAAUUUAAUUAGCCAGGCACGGUGGCAUGUGCCUACAGUCCCAGCUACCACUGCACUCCAGACUGGGUGACAGAGUGAGACUCUGUCUCUAAAAACAAAAAGGGGGGCUGGGGGUGGUUUAAAAUAAUAAUAUUUUUAUAAAUACCAAACAUCUGGUAUGUGUUGGCAAUUUUUUUGUAUGAUAUCCCCUAAUGAGGGUCUGUUAUGUACCGAUUACUAUUUUAGGCACUGAGGAUUCAGCAGUGAACAUAACAGAAAAAAUACUGGGGGGAUGGGAAAGCAUAGAAGGUGGGAAAGACAGAUGAUAAAUUAAUUCUUAAAGAUACAGCAGACAAUGAACCACGGUACGCCCAGACUUUUUAAAUAAAUGAUUUGACAGAGUAACUGGGAUACCACUUUAGAUUGGAGGAUGAGGGGUUGAUCAGGGAAGGCCUCUUUGAGGAAGGGAUGUCUAGGUUGAAAAGAAGGAUCCAGCCUUGUGAAAAUACAGGGAAGGACAUUCUAGCAGAGGAACAGCUGAUGCAAAGGCUCUGAGGUAGGAACAAUUCAGCAGGCAAGAGAUAAAGUCAGAGAGGCACGCAGAGGCCACAUCACACAAGGGGUUUGUAGGCCAGACUUUUGUAAGCCAGCAUAAGGAGUUUGAGUUUUAUUCUAAAUAGGAUGAAAAGCCACUGAAGGGUUUUAAGUAAGAGUAACAUGAUCUGACUCAUGUUUAAAACUCUGUCAAAGUGUUAAAAAAUUAUAAUAUAGGCCGGGUGCAGUGACGCAUGCCUGUAAUCCCAGCACUUUGGGAGGCCGAGGUGGGCAGAUCACCUUAGGUCAGGAGUUCGAGACCAGCCUGGCCAACAUGGUGAAACCCCCAUCUCUACUAAAAAUACAAAAAUUAGCUGGGUGUGGUGGCAGGCACCUGUAAUCCCAGCUACUCUGGAGACUGAGGCAGGAGAAUCACUUGAACCUGAGAGGCGGAGUUGCAGUGAGCUGAGAUCGCGCCAUUGCACUCCAGCCUGGGGAACAAGAGCAAGACUUCGUCUCAAAAAAAAAAAAAAAAAGAAAAGAAAAGAAUAAUAAUAAUAACUGGGAAAACACAAACUUUGGCAGUUCCAUGAUUUUGAUAAAUUACUAGAAUAUUAUUAAUAGGAUAAUGCUAUUGUGCUUAUGUUUUUUAAUAGCCCCAUUGAGAUACAAAUUAACAUACAAUUUACUCACUUAAACUGCACAAAUUCAAUGGUUUUUAUAGGUGCACAGAGUUGUGCAACUAUCACAUGCUUGUGGUUUUUGUUAAAGGGUGUCCUUAUUUUUUACUAAUAUACUGGACUACAGAUGUUCCCCAACUUACAACAGUUCAACUUAAUGGUUUUUCAACUAUCACAGCUCACCACAGCCUCGACCUCUUGGGCUCAAGUGAUCCUCUCACCUCAGCCUCCCUGGUAGCUGGAACUGCAGUCAUGUGUCAUCACACCUGGCUAAUUUUUGUAUUUUUUUGUAGGAAUGGGGUUUCACCAGGUUAGUCUCAAAUUCCUAGGCUCAAGCGAUCUGCCAGCCUCAGCAUCCCAGAGUGCUGGGAUUACAGGUGUGAGCUACUGUACCUGGCCUUAAGUGUAUUUUCAAUUUACAAUGGUUCUAUGAGGACGUGGCCCCACAGUAAGUUGAGGAGCACUGGGUAUGUAUGAAUAAAAUGGCAUGACAGGCCUUCUCUUUCCAGUUCUUCCCAGAAUUGGGAAAAGCUGGGUUGAGAGGGUAAGAAAAGAAAAACAAAUAAAUUUUUUAAAAAGAAAAAGAGAUGGCAUGAUAUCUGGAAUUGUUUCACAAGAAUUCAGGGAGUAGGAAGAGAUACAGAGUGGCCAUUAUUGCUAAGUUCUGGAGGAGGGUGAUGGGUACAUCAAUUAAUUAUGCUAUUUGAUUUCUGAAGCUUUGAUAAUUUCCAUGAUUUUUUUUAAAAAGGUCACUCUGGCUGUUGUGUGCAAUAUGGCUUGUAAACGUGGGCAAAAGAAAUGCAGGGAGGCUAAUUACAAAGAGAUGGCAAUAGUGCAGGUAAAGGAUACUGGUGGUUUGGACUAGAAAGUCAGUAGUAAAAUGGAGAUCAUUUUUAACAUAGAGAGAAAUAUGUGACUUUUUUUUUUUUUUUUUUUUUGAGACAGAGUUUCCCUCUGUUGCCCAGGCUGGAGUGCAGUGGCACCAUCUCAGCUCACUGCAAGCUCUGCCUCCCGGGUUCAUGCUAUUCUCCUGCCUCAGCCUCCUGAGUAGCUGGGACUACAGGCGCCCACCAUCACGCCCGGCUAAUUUUUUGUAUUUGUUUUUUUUUUUUUAGUAGAGAUGGGGUUUCACUGUGUUAGCCAGGAUGGUCUCGAUCUCCUGACCUCGUGAUCUGCCCGCCUGGGCCUCCCAAAGUGUUGGGAUUACAGGUGUGAGCCACCGUGCCCGGCCUUGUAUGUGGCUUUAAGAUUUAUUUUGGAGGAAGAUUUAUAGAGCUGCUGAUGGGGAACCUGGGGCUGGUGAUACAUUACUUCUUUAGUGGGGAAAAAACUUUUUAAAACAUUAACCAAAAAAUUAAUACUCAGUUUAGUUUUUCUGCCUAGCACAUAGGAAAAUGCCUUAUAGAGGUCUGCCAAUUCUGUGUUAUUUUCAUUCUACCUACAGGGCACUUUGGAGAAAUUAUUUCUUUAGGCAGAGAGAAAGACAACACUAUGAUUUCUUUCAUAGAAUUCUGCCCUAAUACCAAAAAUAAAUUCUGAACUCCUGCCAACUAGAUGAAAUUCCAGAAGAGAGACCUCAUUUCUGGAUUUGAUGUCUAAAAUGCCUGGCACACAGUAAGAAUUCAAUAAAAUGCUUUUGAACUAAAUGAAAUAGCCUCCUAGAUGGAAUCUAGAUGGGUUCCACCACCAGUUAAAAAAUACACUAUCUCUCUUACCAACCACAACAAAAUAAAGUGAAAAACAGGAAUGAUGUAAUAUUUAAAAGUUUGCAUGACACAGAUUUGUCCCUUAAUGGGAAAAUUUAAUAAAGAUGCCAAUUCUCCUUAAAUUAAUUUACAUAGAAUGUAAUUUCAAUUAAAUCCCAAUGAAGAGCCUCAGAAAAUUAUUUUAAAUGCCUUCUGGAAGAAUAAACAGAUAAGGAUGUCAAAGAAAAUCCUUAAAAAUGGUAAGGGGAAAUCUCACAUAUUAAAACAUUAUAACCAUUAAAAGUGCAAUACUAUCUUAAAAACUUUUUUUUAAUGCGAUACUGUCGAAAGAAGAGACAGAUGAGUGAAUAAAAAACAAUAAAAAAUACAAAAAGAGACUGGGCACCAUGGCUCAUGCCUGUAAUCCCAGCACUUUGGGAGGCUGAGGUGGGUGGAUCGCUUGAUGCCAGCAGUUCGAGACCAGCCCAGCCAACAUGAUGAAAUCCCAUUUCUACUAAAAAUACAAAAAUUAGCAGAGACGGGGUUUCACCAUCUUGGCCAGGCUGGUCUUGAACUCCUGACCUCGUGAUCCACCCACCUCAGCCUCCCAAAGUGCUGGGAAUACAGGCGUGAGCCACCACACCCAGCCAGG